UACGUAGGGUGCAAGCGUUGUCCGGAAUUAUUGGGCGUAAAGAGCUCGUAGGCGGUCUGUCGCGUCUGCUGUGAAAACUCGGGGCUUAACCCCGGGCCUGCAGUGGGUACGGGCAGACUAGAGUGCGGUAGGGGAGACUGGAAUUCCUGGUGUAGCGGUGAAAUGCGCAGAUAUCGGGAGGAACACCGGUGGCGAAGGCGGUUCUCUGGGCCUU
rnacentral:rRNA from 1 species